rnacentral:tRNA from 1 species
GGCACUGUAGCUCAGUUGGUAGAGCGUCCGCCUGAAGAGCGGAAGGCCCUUGGUUCGAGUCCAAGCGUUGCCA